GAUGAACGCUGGCGGCGUGCCUAAUACAUGCAAGUCGAGCGAACGGACGAGAAGCUUGCUUCUCUGAUGUUAGCGGCGGACGGGUGAGUAACACGUGGAUAACCUACCUAUAAGACUGGGAUAACUUCGGGAAACCGUAGCUAAUACCGGAUAAUAUUUUGAACCGCAUGGUUCAAAAGUGAAAGACGGUCUUGCUGUCACUUAUAGAUGGAUCCGCGCUGCAUUAGCUAGUUGGUAAGGUAACGGCUUACCAAGGCAACGAUGCAUAGCCGACCUGAGAGGGUGAGCGGCCACACUGGAACUGAGACACGGUCCAGACUCCUAAGGUAGGCAGCAGUAGGGAAUCUGCCGCAAUGGGCGAAAGCCGGACGGAGCAACGCCGCGUGAGUGAUGAAGGUCUUCGGAUCGUAAAACUCUGUUAUUAGGGAAGAACAUAUGUGUAAGUAACUGUGCACAUCUUGACGGUACCUAAUCAGAAAGCCACGGCUAACUACGUG
rnacentral:rRNA from 1 species